AAUGAACGUUGGCGGCGUGGAUUAGGCAUGCGAGUCGCGCGAGAAUGUAGCAAUACAGGACAGCGGCGAAAGGGAGAGGACAACAUGGGAAUCUGCCCUGGGGACGAGGAUAGCGUCGGGAAACUGACAGUAAUACUCGAUAAUGUUUGCGGACCAAAGGUGUGAUUCCGCCCCAGGAUGAGCCCGUGCCCCAUUAGCUUGUUGGCAGGGUAACGGCCUACCAAGGCUAUGAUGGGUAGCUGGUGUGAGAGCACGACCAGCCUCACUGGCACUGAGACACUGGCCAGACACCUACGGGUGGCUGCAGUCGAGAAUCUUUGGCAAUGGACGAAAGUCUGACCAAGCGACGCCGCGUGCGGGAUGAAGGCCUUCGGGUUGUAAACCGCUGUCGUAGGGAAUCAAAUGUAUUGGGGUACUCCCUCUACUUGAGAGAUCCUAGGAGGAAGGAGAGGCUAAGCUCGUGCCAGCAGCCGCGGU
rnacentral:rRNA from 1 species